rnacentral:sRNA from 1 species
AGAAAACAUUGCUUUGGAGUUGAAAAAAGUUCAAGCAGACUGGUCCAUCACUGAAUUUAUUGCUACAACGGACAAUGCUAGAAAUGAACAAAAGGCAUAUGAAAUCCUGGGAAUGCAACGCUUUGGCUGUUAUGGACACAGAACCAACCUUAUAGUAAAAAAUGCCCUUGCUUUUCCAGAGGUUGGUAGAAUUUUGGGUAAGGCUCGCAAGAUUGUUACAUUCUUUCAUCAGUCAAGCAGUGUUUCUGAGAUGUAAAAAGCAAAGCAAAGAUUACUCUUGGAUGAAAAGCUUGUAGGUAACAAGUUAGUGAUUGAUGUUGUCACAAGGUGGAACUCGACUUCUUGAGCAAUAUCCAUGCCUAAUGGCUCUUGCAUAUGAACCAAGACUGUCGAAGUCAGCGUCAACAACCAUAAAAAAUUGUGUUUUUACCUUUGAUGAACAUGCAGUUGUAGAAAGUCUUGUUCACAUUCUGGACCCAUUUGAAAAGGCAACUACUAUAGUAUGUUCUGAAACCACACCAACAAUUCAGAAAGUCUUACCAAUGGUAACAAAACUAUAUCGUGCAGUUAAAAUUAAAGGGACGACAUUCCUAUUACCAACAAAGUAAAGGAGAAGAUUUCCUUUGAGAUGAAGAAUAGAACAAAACCAGAAUCCAUCUCAUUGCUAGGUUCUGCACUGAAUCCUUUUGCAAAGGACCUAACAUUUUAGAGUCAAGAAGACAGACACAGCACUCAAGUUGCUUUGUGACAUUUUGAUACCCUUGAAUGUUACCGUAAAAGUUGUAAAAGAAACGGAUAAUAGUAAACCAGAUCAGGAAACCGUCCCCAUACCACAAGAGGAAAAUGAACCUAGACUUCCCUCCCUCCCCACACUGGUAGUUGAAGAUUCAGUUGAGGAAAUUGAUUAUAGUCCACCUUCAAAGAUACAGAAAAAGUCUGUUGAUACAGAUGAUCGGCUGGCUGAUAUUAUUUGCACAUGAGAAACCAAAAUGAACAACUCAGCAGCAGCAGAAAUGGAACUGAAUAGAUAUUUUGGAUGUAAACUUACAGAGGCCGACUACAACCUUACGCUACUGGAAUGGUGGAAAAAAAAUGAAAGUUAUUUUCCUCGUUUAUCACAGGUUGUCAAAUUUUUUUAGCAGUACCAGCAUCCUCAGUUCCCUCUGAGAGAAGUUUUAGUACAGCAGGGGAAAUAGUUAAUAAAAAAAAGAAGCAGACUACAUUGUGGAAAUGUUGACUUGCUAAUAUUUUUAAAUAAAAACCUUGAAAGGUACUGGUGAAACUGAAACACAGUUGUGAACUUUCUAGUCAUGAUGUUUAAAAAAUAAAAACAGUUAAAAUUGUUUUUGUUUAAUGUUUUUGAAAUGGAAUUAAAACUUUAAACUUAAAAUUAAUUUGUUAUACUUUAAAUUGUUUAUGUUUAUUGUUUGAAAUUGUUGCUAACUUCCUAGUCAGUAGUCACUAUAAAUGGUACAAUAU